UGUAGCAAUAUUUGUAUAUAUAUUUGUUGUUAAAUUUCUGGUUUUUUAUUUUUGAUUUUGGUUGAAGUUUGGUUUGGAUUAUGUGUAUAUUUUUGUGUAACUAUUGGUUGAUUGUGUGAGUUUUAGUUUUGGUUUUGGUUAAAGUUUAGUUCAUUUUGUGGCUUUUUAUUUUUUAUUUUGGUUAAAGUUUGCUCUAUUUUGGAGGAACUGUAGAUGGCAGUAGUGCUAACAAAAAUUUUCUCUAAGGUUUACAUCAAAAAUCGUUAAUCUGCCUCUGUACAUUUUUUUUUUUUUUUUAAUUUCGAUUCUCUGAUAUAAGGAAAUUGGUAUAACUUAAAAUAUUUCAUCUAUCUGAUUAUUACACUUAAAAUCAUUACCCUGUUGCUUGAAAUCGUGUAGUUGGUAGUCAUUUUCCCUUGCAAAUAUUGUCUUGAUGGUGGCUUUGGUUGCUUGGCUCUACCUUGCAGAUCUAUUUGAGCCUUGUUUAGGGGCAUUAUGAGGCAAUAUGACAGCUGCAAAUGCACUGGUGGAAACAUAUUAUCUCUAUUUAACUUAUUAUCCUCAUUGUUUGUUAACCAUCCUUUGUGUGAUUAUUGUUAUUAAUCCUCGAAAAACAUAUUUAAUCUGGACUGGUUGAUACUAUGUUAUAAGACUGCUAUGUUAAUCAUUAGGAGAUAGAUUGUUGCAUAAUUUUCUGCAAAUAAUUUUAAUUUUGAGAUUGCUUUAUACUGAAACACAGGGCAGGCUUUUAUUUCUUACUUGGCAACUGUAGUUUAUAUUUGCUAUGUUGUAUUGUAGGCUAUUUCUGUGGCUGAAAGAGUUGCUGAUGAGUGUUGUGAACCUUCACCAGGAGUGAAAAAACAAAGCUUCUUUUUUGUACCACGGGCAUUCUUCUUAGAAAAUUUGUCGUAUGCCCUUCUGUCUGAUUGGGUGAUAUUACUGAAUCUAUUACUAACAUUACUGCCAUAGAUAAAACAGUAACGGUUGUGUUGGAUAUUGAGAGACUUGCACAAUCCUCAGAUAGAGGUUGGGGGAGCCCAAAAGUGACUGAGUGGCAGCUUGUUUGAAGUUUACAUUCUUCUUUCCGUGGGCAAACACUGGGAUUGCUAAAGGGUGAGUAAGAUCUACUUCUUAAUUCCCUUAAAUUGUAAAAUAAUGUGGUGGGUUGUUGUUUAGGAGCAAGCAGGUGGCUUGCAUGGAGAGAAAAGGUGGAAUAUAUUGGGAGUGUUGUUUGUUUUGUGAAUGUUAACAUAUUGUUGUUCAAUUUGUUGUCAAUUUCUUGUAUUUUGUCUAAGUAAAUACAUAUAGUAUGCUGU